CCUCAAAAAUAUUGUGUGUGCUACUUAUAAUUGAUAAAAUUAUUGUUUAUUUAUUAAUUAUCAAAAUUAUGAUUUCAUUAAGACUUCUAGAAUUUUCGAAAAAUUUAUUUGAAUCGUUGUGAUCACUGAAAGAGAUAAAAUAAAACAUAUUUGAUAAAAAAUUUAAAUAAACAUCAUUAUUCCAUAAAAAAUUCUAGGAACUUUUCUUUGUUUCUUAUCUGACUAGUAUUAACAACAAUUUUAAGUACGGAAAAAAACACCAGUUAUUUGAGUAAACAAUUGGUAAAAAUAUCUUCAGGUCAAGCUCCAAUGGAAUUUUUUAUAAUAACAAAAAUACUUACCAAUACAUAAGUUUAUGUCUAAGACAGCUUUAUUUAUGAUAGUUGCGCAAUUAAAAAAAAAAUUCCAAGCAAUAAAAUGGUUCGUGCGUCCAAAGUCCAGGAAACGAUGUGCUAAAAAUAGUUGAUUAUUUUUAAAAAAUUACGUGUUAAAAUACUACGAUUUAAUUUUGAAUCAAGGUGAUAUAAUAGUAUAUAUAAGCAUUACAUCUAAAAAGGAGCAUCAUUAUCAAAUUUUUCUCGAUAAAAUAUUUUUUUUACUAAUGAGAAAGCUUUUCGAAUUUCCAUUUUCCAAAGAGAACCAAAUUACCAAUAAUUUAACUUUUUUUUCGCAACGAAUGGAUUAAUUAAAAUUUUCCAUCCAGAUUCAGCAUCGAAAAUUUUCAAUUAUGUCAAAAUUAUUGCUGUUUGCAUUUAUUUUAAUAAUAAUUGCAGUGGUUGAUACAGAAAGAGUUGUUGAAAAGUGUGAUGACUCACCAACACGAGUAGGACAUAUUUGCAAGAAAUGGAUGGACUUUUGUCAAUGUGGACAUGACUGUUGUACCAAGCACUGUGAUUUUUAUUACGUCAAUGGACGCUGCAAUUAAUUUUUUAUAAAUAUUAUAAUAAAAUUUAUAAACCUUAAA